GUUUGAAUAAACUUUUGAUAUUGAUAAGGUAUUGCUAUCAAGAAAAAAAUCUUGAAGAUGAGAUAUAUUUAAAUGGUAUAAUUGCUUGGUGUGGAUACUCUUAGUAUGACUUAUCUUAAUACUGAUAUUGUGAGCAAAACUCUUAUGUCCUUGCUAAAGUCUCAGGAAGCAAAUGUGAUGACAAUCCGAGAAGUUAAGGAUCUCACUAAACUUCCAUUGAAAGAGCUCAUCGAUUCACUAAUGACUCAUGAAAUCAUCAUGGAAAAGCAAGAAUUAGAUAAGAAGCCAAAUAAGAAUUUGACAUUCAAAACCAUGCACCAUGAUGAUGAUGAUGAUGAUGAUGAUGAUGAUGAUGAUGAAGUAGAGGAAGACAUUGCACUUAUAACAAGUCAAUUCUAGAAUUUUUUUAAUAAAGAAGCAAGGGAAUAAAAAGUGCUUACACUUCAAGAUGGAUGAAAAUAAGGAAGAAUCUAGUAAGGUGGCCCUUAAAAGCUACAAGUGCAACAAGACGGGACACGUUAAGGUCAAUUGCCUUUCUUUCAAAACAAGAAGAAGAACCAUCAUCAUAAACAAGCAAUGAAAGCAACAUGGAGUGAUGACUCAGACUCUAGCUUAAGUGAUGAUGAAGAACAUGUUGCAAACAUGUGUUUCAUGACAAUUGAAAGCGAUAAUAAGGAAUCAAGAGAAUAUAAGGAAUGAUUCUUUGAUAAUGCUUGCUCAAGACAUAUGACCGGAGAUAAUUCAUUGUUCUCAAGUAUAACGAAGAUCAAUGCUGGAAAAGUCACAUUUAAAGAUAACUUAAAAGGAAAGAUCAUUGGAGUUGACAAUAUCGAAGGUGAGGCAUCAACUAUGAGAUCCCAAGAAAGUGGAACAAGACCAGCGAGAGGAAAAUAUAGGUGUUUGUCACCUUAAAACCUCUUUAAUUUAUAGUAACUGUUAUAAGUUACUAAUUCCAAUAAAAGGAUUGUUGAUUUGUGUAAUAUGUGUUGUGGACGGUAAGUACUUAUGAAAUCUUGAUACAGAGAUUUGUUUAAAUAAGUGUUGGGUUGUUGAAUGAAAAGUCAACCCCAUG